GAAGCCCAGGCGACCCGCGGUCCCUCACCCCCAGCCGGUCCCAGAUCCGGGAUACCAGUGCUGGCCUGGGGGUCCGCGUGCGCUCUCAUCCGGAUGGCCGACCCCUGCUCAGAUCGUGAAUCAGAGUCCGAAUACGUGUUCCCGCGGGAAGUCGGGCUUUUCGCGGACUCGUACUCGGAGAAAAGCCGGUUCUAUUUCUGUGGGCACGUGCUGAGCAUCACACAGAACUUCGGGUCCCGCCUCGGGGUGGCGGCGCGCGUGUGGGACGCGGCUCUGAGUCUGUGCAACUAUUUUGAAAGUCAAAAUGUGGAUUUCCGAGGCAAGAAAGUGAUCGAACUAGGCGCAGGGACGGGCAUCGUGGGAAUCUUGGCCGCGCUGCAGGGGGGGAAUGUUACCAUCACUGACCUGCCCCUGGCCCUAGAGCAGAUCCAGGCCAACGUCCAGGCCAAUGUGCCGGCUGGAGGUCAGGUCCAGGUCCGAGCCUUGUCCUGGGGGAUUGACCAGCAUGUUUUCCCUGGAGACUAUGACCUGGUGCUGGGGGCUGAUAUCGUGUACCUGGAGCCCACCUUCCCACUGCUGCUGGGCACCCUCCAACACCUAUGCGGGCCCCAUGGCACCAUCUAUCUGGCCUCCAAGAUGAGAGAGGAGCACGGGACAGAGAGCUUCUUUCAGCACCUCCUGCCCCAGCACUUCCAACUGGAGCUGGCCCAGCGGGAUGAGGAGGAGAAUGUCAACAUCUAUAGAGCCAGGCACAGGGAACCAAGACCUGCUUGACAACACCCUUCUGCUCCUCUGAACCCCUUGUCCUAAGAAAAGAACUGCCGUAUCUCCAAAGCCAUAAACACGAGGAAGAGAAGGAAAGAAGAUCAUCUCUGUAUCCAAAGAAUUCAGGCUUUUGCUGGGGGACUAGGAAGGAAUGAACCGCAGACCACCCACUUCUUGCUUCUGGAGACAGAGUCUGGUGGGACCAUGGCCCUAACUGGGUCAAAUCCUGCCUGCCCUGAAGCUGGGGACAUAGGCAGCAAGCUGUCCUUUGGACUAUGGCUUCUUCAUCCUUUUUGGAGCUGGAACCGGGAUCACUAAGUACUAGGUUCUUCUCAUCUAUCUGAGUUUUCUUCAGGUUUCCAAGCCCUGUUGGUCCUUCCUUGCUAAUGUGUUUUGUCUUCCCCUCUUUUUUCUUCCCACUGAGCUACCUCUGCUUGGGGCUCCCUUUUACUCCUUGGGCCACAUAUCACCUCCUCUGGAUUCCUGGCCUCCAUUCCCUCCCGUUCAAGCCACUUAUCAAACUCUGUUGAUCUUCCCACAUCAGCUCUGAUUAACUUCGGAUGCCUACAGCAAGAGUC